CCUUAUGCAUGCAAGUCGAACGGGGUUGCAGUUUUCGGAUUGCAACCUAGUGGCGAACGGCUGAGUAACACGUAAGCAACCUACCUUGGAGUGGGAAAUAACCUGUCGAAAGAUAGGCUAAUGUCCCAUGUGGUAACGAAGCAUAAGCUUGGUUACUAAAGCCUUCGGGCGCUCCUUGAGGGGCUUGCGUCCGAUUAGCUAGUUGGUGGGGUAAUGGCCUACCAAGGCUAUUACGGGUAGCUGGUCUGAGAGGAUGAUCAGCCACACUGGGACUGAGACACGGCCCAGACUCCUACGGGAGGCAGCAGUGGGGAAUUUUCCGCAAUGGGCGAAAGCCUGACGGAGCAACGCCGCGUGAGGGACGAAGGCCUCUGGGCUGUAAACCUCUUUUCUCAAGGAAGAAAAUCUGACGGUACUUGAGGAAUAAGCCACGGCUAAUUCCGUGCCAGCAGCCGCGGUAAUACGGGAGUGGCAAGCGUUAUCCGGAAUUAUUGGGCGUAAAGCGUCCGCAGGCGGCCUUGUAAGUCUGCUGUCAAAGAGUGGAGCUCAACUCCAUAGAGGCAGUGGAAACUGUAAGGCUUGAGUGUGGUAGGGGCAGAGGGAAUUCCCGGUGUAGCGGUGAAAUGCGUAGAUAUCGGGAAGAACACCAGUGGCGAAGGCGCUCUGCUGGGCCAUAACUGACGCUCAUGGACGAAAGCCAGGGGAGCGAAAGGGAUUAGAUACCCCUGUAGUCCUGGCCGUAAACG
rnacentral:rRNA from 1 species